rnacentral:lncRNA from 1 species
AUGGUACACGUUAGAAGAUAUGAAACAAGGAAAAAUUCUAAAACUCAAGGGCAUGAACAGAAAUCUCGAGUCGAUUGGAGGCGGACUAAAAGAAGUAGUAUCUCGCAGUUAUGUGAAAGUGAUGACGAGCUUGAGAGUGAUGAAAGUGUUGACAGUAUUGAAAGUGCUGACAGUGACGAAGAUCCUGACAGUAGCAAGGGGUCUGAUCACAUUAAGAAGCCAGAAAAUGAAAGAGAGCUUAAAUUAAUUAAUGUUGAAGGUGAAGGAAACAGUAGUAAGCAUCUCAUUAACACUGACAAUAGUUCAACAUAUGAAGAAGAAAAGAACAAAACUAAACAUGGAAGUAUUGACUUAUCAGGUCAAGAGGAGGGUGAUCUCAACAAACACACUGGACAAAUAACAGAGGAGGAUUUAGAAGAAGAACCCAUCAAGCGAGGGAAGAGAAAAAGGAUCUCCUCUGUGAUGUGUGACAGUGAUGAGAGUGACGACAGUGAUAUCCUAGCUGGGAGAGUGGGUGUUAAACAUCCACGCAGAGUGGUCGAAGAUGAAUGUUCCUCAGUGGAGAUGGAGCAAAACAUUCCUGAAAAAACUUCAGCUACAAGAAAACGAGAACAGCUGCAGAAACUGAAAGAACUCUCAAAACAGAGAUCUCGUCAGAGACGUAAUAGUAGUAGAGAUUUUGAGGACUCUGAAAAGAAAUCCUCCCCCAGCAGUGAUGAAAAUGAUGUUGAGGAGGAAGAGGAAGAAGACAGUGAUUAUGAAUUUGGUGAAGAUGGAGAUCAUUAUAUUAUUGAUGGCUUUGUAGUACAAGAUGAGGAGGGUGAUGAAGAUAAUAAAAGCCAACGAGGAGAACAAUUGACUACAUCACAACGGAAAUCAAUAGAACAGAAUUCUCUUUAUUCUUUUAGUGACCACUAUACUCACUUUGAAAGAGUUGUGAAAGCUCUUCUGAUCAAUGCUCUAGAUGGAUCUUUUCUGGGAACAUUAUAUGAUGGCACCAGGCAGAAAUCGUACGCACAAGAUAUGUUGACUUCUCUUCAUUAUUUGGAUAACCGCUUUGUUCAGCCUCGUCUAGAGAAUUUAGUCUCUAGAAGUCGUUGGAAAGAGCAAUACAAGGAGCGAGUAGAAAAUUAUUCUAGUGUAAGUAUCCAACCGAAGAAUCCUGAGAACUGUUCCUGCCAGGCUUGUGGGUUGCAUCGCUACUGUAAAUACUCAGUGCAUUUAUCAGGAAAGCUGUAUAACACCAGGACCAUGGAAACAGAUGAUUUCAUGUCACAUGAUAAACAGGUGUUUACUGUUGGCAGAAUUUGUGCUGAGCGAACCAGAAUUUACCAUAAACUGAAACAUUUUAAAUUCGAGCUGUACCAAGAGUGUUGCUCCAUUGCAAAGACAGAAGAGGUUGAGGAUGAACAGGUUAAAGAAACAGUGAAAAGAAUUUUCAACCAGUCAAAAAGCAGUGGCUGGAUUAAGAAGAAAUAUGAUCAACUUGAAGAAUAUCUCAGUUCUGCGGAUUACUUUCAAGAUGAGAAGUUUGAAUUUUAA